rnacentral:rRNA from 1 species
GACGAACGCUGGCGGCGUGCCUAAUACAUGCAAGUAGAACGCUGAAGAGAGGAGCUUGCUCUUCUUGGAUGAGUUGCGAACGGGUGAGUAACGCGUAGGUAACCUGCCUUGUAGCGGGGGAUAACUAUUGGAAACGAUAGCUAAUACCGCAUAACAAUGGAUGACCCAUGCCAUUUAUUUGAAAGGGGCAAAUGCUCCACUACAAGAUGGACCUGCGUUGUAUUAGCUAGUAGGUGAGGUAACGGCUCACCUAGGCGACGAUACAUAGCCGACCUGAGAGGGUGAUCGGCCACACUGGGACUGAGACACGGCCCAGACUCCUACGGGAGGCAGCAGUAGGGAAUCUUCGGCAAUGGGGGCAACCCUGACCGAGCAACGCCGCGUGAGUGAAGAAGGUUUUCGGAUCGUAAAGCUCUGUUGUAAGUCAAGAACGAGUGUGAGAGUGGAAAGUUCACACUGUGACGGUAGCUUACCAGAAAGGGACGGCUAACUACGUG